rnacentral:rRNA from 1 species
GACGUAGGGGGCUAGCGUUGUCCGGAAUCAUUGGGCGUAAAGCGCGCGUAGGCGGCCCGGUAAGUCCGCUGUAAAAGUCAAAGGCUCAACCUUUGAAUGUCAGUGGAUACUGCCGGGCUAGAGUCCGGAAGAGGCGAGUGGAACUCCUGGUGUAGCGGUGGAAUGCGCAGAUAUCAGGAAGAACACCGACGGCGAAGGCAGCUCGCUGGGACGGUACUGACGCUGAGGCGCGAAAGCGUGGGGAGCGAACAGG